GAUGAACGCUGGCGGCGUGCCUAAUACAUGCAAGUCGAGCGAACAGACGAGGAGCUUGCUCGUCUGACGUUAGCGGCGGACGGGUGAGUAACACGUGGAUAACCUACCUAUAAGACUGGGAUAACUUCGGGAAACCGGCGCUAAUACCGGAUAAUAUAUUGAACCGCAUGGUUCAAUAGUGAAAGACGGUGUUGCUGUCACUUAUAGAUGGAUCCGGGCUGCAUUAGCUAGUUGGUAAGGUAACGGCUUACCAAGGCGACGAUGCGUAGACGACCUGAGAGGGGGAUCGGCCACACUGGAACUGGGACACGGUCCAGACUCCUACGGGAGGCAGCAGUAGGGAAUCUUACGCAAUGGGCGAAAGCAUGACGGAGCAACGCCGCGUGAGUGAUGAAGGUCUUCGGAUCGUAAAACUCUGUUAUUAGGGAAGAACAUAUGUGUAAGUAACUGUGCACUUCUUGACGGUACCUAAUCAGAAAGCCACGGCUAACUACGUG
rnacentral:rRNA from 1 species